GAGGGGCGAGGGCUGCGUCCGCUCGGGCGGACGGAGGUCGGUUCCUCCCUGCGUUCCGUCCGGCGUAACCCCGAGUGAUAAAAUUCACCGCCGGACCUCUCCGGGAGACUUCAGAACGGCGACGCUCCGAAGACAGACGGAGAACUUUAUCUUAUCUCUAACGGCAUAGUCACGGCGGGUACGUGGGGUUAUCCCUGGUCCCGUACCUCGGUGCUCAGGCUUCUGCCUCGGGAAGGUCACUGCGGAGAUGCCGUGUGAAGUUGUGGCACUGUCGUGGAUGCUUCAGUUAAUUCAUUUCCUAUUUCUUUCUCUUGCGGGGAACCCACAGAGCCGUGCUGGGGUCUCAAAGUUUUGCCUGCAGGAAAUGAUGGCGAAUGCCACGCAUUGUUCCAUAAAAGCCAGUUGUGGAGUGAAACGCGCCCAGCAAUACUUCUGGCAGGGCAGAGCCUUUAUUACUUUGCCGCGGGCUGCCAUCGGCUUCGACUAUUUAAUAAAGGCUUUAAGAGGAAGCGGAGCAGUGGGAUGCCACCCUCUGCUUUUCUGCUUGUGCCUUUCAGCUCGGCUUUGCUCGCUGCUUUGCCACAGCAGACAGCUGUCGUCACCUGGAGGUUCAGCGUCCCCAAAGGGCCUUUUGCAUUCGGUGGGUUGUUUGGAACACGAGGUCCAUAUCGCUCUGGUACCACAAGUAGGGGCUGCGUGGAAGGCUUGUUGCACCUGCAGGGCUCCUGCUGCAGGGUCCUGUGCCCUGAGCAGCAUUUGGGGGCACCUGGCAGCACAGGCUCUGCCUCUCCUGGCUGUUAAUCCCAAUUACCAUGGGAUGUUGCCGUGGGGGAUGCACGUGUAAGGAGAUGCUUCUGGGGAAAACUUACUUGAGAGUGACUUGAGAACGUGAGCAUUCUCAGAGAGGUGGAGGUUUUAUUAUUUUGCCAUCGUCAGGUUUCACAGAAGUCACUUCCCUAAGCCCUAUGCCAGUUGUCACAUAGUAAAUGAUAACGCAUCAUGUCCUCUCCUUUUCUGACUUUGAUUGAACAGCGCUCUGCUGAGCGUCGCCACUUGUGUGGUGUGUCUGCGUGGGUUGCCAUCCAUCUGAUUUUGGUAGAAAGCACGUGACCCGAGGAUCACAUUUUGGCUGCUGUGGUUAACAACUGCUGCUUCCACUCACCGGGGUGAGCGGAUGCUGCUGGGGGGCUGCGGGGCUGUUUGCACGGCUUCUGACGGAGCUCCCAACUGCACCCUGCAAAUCAGUGCAGCGUGCUUGAUCCUCGCAAGGUUCAUUACAGGGAGAGAAAGUCUGAACUAAUCUGCUUUUAAAAAAAGCAGCAGGGGAGAGUAAUCCUCCUCGGAGCUGCUGAUACAGCUGAUUGCUGAGCUUUCCUGGAGGCAGUGCAGCACCUCUCCUCCCCAGACAGCCACUGGAACAAACAUGCCUGCACCGGGCUGGAGCAGAACCGUUUCCCAUCUAAUCCUGUAUAGCUCUGGACUGGAUCCACCUUUUCCGAUCCUACACGAGUCUGGGACAGCUUAGCUCUCUUGGGGAGAGCUAUUGUGAUUCUAUCCGUAUUCCUGUAUUAUUAUUAUUAUUAUUAUUUUAAUUUCAGAAAUUGGUGUAGAUUCACUGCCUGAGGCUUGAAUGCAAAUGAUGGUGUUUUGCUAAUUAAUACCUUUCCUCUUAAUAUAUUAACUCGGGACAUACCAAUGGGGUUCUGGUUAGGAAGGAGGCUGCUCGUUGCAAGGUGCAGUGGCACAGAGCCAAGGUGCUUCCAUCAGGCUCUGGUCUUGCAGAAACCCUCAGAGCACUGCGUGUUACCAUCACACCAGGGAUGUGUUUCUAUGAGAACUUCAGUUAACCUUAGAAGGCAGAGCAGAGCCAGCUUCCACGUUGUUAUCAUGUCUGUGUUUUGCUGUGACGCAUCUUACACUUGGGGGAAGUCUGCUUUGCAGAGUUGGUGUUUCCAAAAACCAACGAACAUUGUUUGACGCUUUGGCAAAACUCAGAGCUCUGUGUAUCUUUCUCUGGGUUCGGAUGGUUCUUUUCCAAUAGCUUAGCAUGGGCUGGGUCUCUCCAGAGUGCUGAAAUGUAAAGUGAGGGGAGCUGGGGAUGAGCUGCAGCUGGGAGAGUUGACCAAGGCCAGCCUUCAGCAGUACUGAAGUACCACAGGUACUCUAAGGCACAUGGUACACAUUUCCAGCAUGAGAGGUCUGGAAGUGUUGUUUCCCUGCAAUUUCGGGCUUGAAGGAUACUUGUGAUUGUCCUGAUCUGCAGUGACGUGUGCCCUUGCUAACCCUGUCAGCCUCCCAGUGCCUGUCUCAGCCUGUAAAAACAAUUGUUUCUACACCGUAUCUUUUGGGAUGCUCGCCUUAAAGAUACUAUGCAAAUGCAGAGUAUGGUUAUAGAUUUAUAAAAGGGUCUGAAAGCUGAAAGAGCACAGCAGAAGGAUGAGGGGAAGAAAAUCCAGAAGCUGUUAGAGCGGCCACCCCUGGGGAUAACGCAGGAGGCUGAGAGUGGUUUAUAAUGGUAGUCGCUUUACACACAAGGUUGUAAUUUAUUGGCUCCUCCGUUUCCAUUACCACUGUAGAACCGCUGGGGGAAUUCAGGUUCUGUCAAAGUAAAUGGCUCCCUCGGACUGCUGAGGCAUUAUGGUAAAUCUGGGUUCUUUACUGAGCGACUUUUAUUUUUUUUAACAAUUGUUGGAGUGUAUCACUUAGAAUCGUUCAGGAGUUCUCAAGAUCAAAUAGACAGCUAAAUGUGUGCAAGUCUUUAUCAAUUUCCUCCCAAACCAGUCCUCUCCCACUCCAGGUGCAAAGCUUACUGCUUACUCACUUCAAGUAUAAACCGAGAGCAACAUUUGUAUAACAAAGCAACAACCCUUAGAAAACAAAGCUGUGUCUCCAUUUCCCCAGAAGAAACGUGGCCGAGGUGGCAGAGCCACAUGAGGUGUGUUCCCAGGAGGUGGGACAGGUGGCAGCGAGGGGCGGCGUAAGGGAAGUGCACAGUGACAGAUAGGCUGUGCUCUGCCUUUCACUGCGUGCUUCUCCCACCUUGGAUAUGUGCAGAGCUGUUUCACUGCCUCAGGUGGGACGCUGCAGUUUGCUAGCCCAGGAGGAAGGUUCCGAAUCCUCAGCCUCACAAGUAGAGGGAGCAGUGCUGGUUUGUUAGUCAGUCUUUCAGAAAUUGCUUGAAAGAGGCAUCAAGACGUUGCUUUUUAUGAGAGCCCUGGCCCAUCCUGCUCUGGCUGUUUUUAAGGUUAUAGUGGGUUCACUGUGGAGUUGAAGUUGUGGAAAUUUUCCACUGCAAUAUUUCCUUAUUGUAGCCACUUUCUGCGUGGGUUAUGGGUUUUACAAGGGAAGCAAAUGAGGUUGUGCAUUUAUGUGCAUGUAUAUCCAUUGCAGGCACCAGUGGGCUGAGAGGAUGCAUUGUCUGGAGCAGAAGAGAAUCCUGAACUUGGCUUUAUAACAGUCAGGUUUCCGUUGGAGUUUCACACUUGUUAGCAAUGCACAAUAUGAAAUAGACAUACCUUAAUUUUACUUCUUCUCAGACGUAUCUUCUGGUUUUGUUGGCUAAUGGUUGAGCUUUCUCACCAAGUCAUCCAAGCAGUACUUCUAGGUAUACAUUCUAGGUAUCAAGGUCUCUGAUUUUGAGGGUUUUUUUUUGUUGUUGUUGUUUGUUGUUUUUUUUUUUUGUCUUGCAGAUGAUUAAAAAGUGUGUUUCAAUGCAUGAGAUUACCAAGGCCACAAAAGGGUAUUGUAAAGAAUGUAACAAAGAGUUUUGAAAUCCCAGCAAUUAAGGCUGUUGUCACAGAAGUGAGAGAGCAUAGGAGUGAGGACUGCAGAGGAGCUGAACCACAUGCAGUCAGGAUUCACUGAGCUCUCAGUUUUUCAGCCAUACUACCAUUUGCAGGUGUCACCUUGAUGCUCAUUACACUUUGGAGAAAUGCAUUGUUUACCUAACACUGGGCAUUACUGUUAGCUUCUACGUGCAAGCAAGAGAUUCACAGAUUUGUAGGGGCUGGAAGGGACCUCUAGAUAUUGAGUCCAGCCCCCCCCACAAAGCAGGCUCCCUACAGCAGGCUGCAUAGGUAGGCACCCAGGUGGGUCUUGAAUAUCUCCAGAGAAGGAGAAUCCACAGCCCCUCUAGUGAACCUGUUCCAGUGCCCAAGAGAAAACGUGUAGUAGACCUGAUGUGCCCGAAGGGUGACAGUGCCAACCUUUAGGGCUUUCCCUCAUUCCCCUGGGUGGGCAGCAGUAGCUCAGGCACACGUGGGAGAACCUGGGGGCUGUUUAGGGCAUUGUGCCACCAGCCCUAGUAAUGUGUGUCAGCAUGGCAUGCUUUCGGUGCCUCCUCUUGCCAUCAAAUGUGGAUGCUAGGUUUAAUCUCUGCGCGUCAUCCCUCUGAGUGAUUCAUGGAUGGUGAUAGCACAUAGCGUGUGACAGUUUCUGGAGUUGAGCAGCUGUUUGCUCAGAGAGAGAAUGUACAAACUGGUGAGAGUGAUACCCUGUGCACAUUUUAAUUCUGGCAGGUUUUGCCCAGCUCCCCUCGCUGCCAUUUGCUCCUUGGGGAGCUAAGGCUGCUUUGUUCAUGAGGCCAAGGCCUGAGCACUGAUAGGGCAGCAUGCAGGGUCCUGGUGGGUAGCUGAGCUGCUAGGUCCCUGAGGUCCCAGCUGCCACCUGUGCCCUCUGAUGCUCACAUGCGAGCUGCCCUACCAAUGUGUAGUUAUUCGGUAGGGUCUGGGGAGAUCUUCUCUUAGAGUCUGGAGUUAUUUUAGCUGCUGUCUCAAAACUUCAGGUUAGUUAUCUGAUUACUGCUUCAAUCUGAACAGUGUGCCUGGAGCUUGCCCUACAGUUUCACAACUUUGUUCGGUGUUUCAUGCCGUCUCCAUUAAGAAGCACUGCUUACACUGCUUAGGUUUCAGAUAGACCUGCAAUUCCCUUUUGCACUUCCAUAACCUGCCUGUAAUAUCUGUGUCUAUGGGAAGCUACUUUCUUCUUAAGUAAGGGAUCACUCUCCCUUGGAAGCCUCUCCUUAACCUAUAAAAGGCCGUUAAUAACGAGUGUUUCACUCUAGUGUCUCUAAGGAUUGUAAUUUCUGACUUCUGUAUUGCAUUUGUUCAGUUUUUGGACUCUCCGGGAUGCUCCCGGUGUUGGCUUUCCAGUGGCCCCCCAUCGCAUACCGGGCUGAAUUCUAGCUAGUAUUUUCAAUGCAGUCUUGUUAAAAUCUGAUAUUUUACAACAGGUUUCCCCCGUCUGGGGCAAGCUGUCAUGGGAAGAACCCAAGAUUAGUCCUAAUAGGACAUGAGAGCCGGGACGAAGAUAAACUGCGGGAUUUGAGAAAGCUGCCUGACCUUGGCCUCGCCCCAGCUCCCACAGCAGCUGCGUGCCUGCAGCUGGGAGCAGGACAGAGCUGUGCCAGCUGUGGGUUCCUCCCCAGCCCUGCACAGUGCCAGCCCACUGCCUGGUCCUGGGCUGGAAAAUAGCCAUCCGGACCAUUGUGCGAAAGGGAAAGUAAAGAUUAAAAAAAAAAACAAGCAAAGGAAAGUGGGAAAAAUUAAGGAAAUGUCUCACUGGUACAUCUGAGAGUUGGACCUGGAAGCAAGGCCUCUCUGUUUACCAGCCCCUGAUCCUCUUUCUUCCACUGGUCUGGGUUCCUCUUACUUCCUGAGCUUCCUCCUGACAACACAGGGCAGCAGGAGACUGCUGCUGUGCUUUCUCUGCUUGGCUGCAAUGCCACGCUCUUCAGCAGCAUUGUUAAACUUUCUGGUUAACUGUUUUUUUUUGAGGAAAGUACUGCUUCUGUCGUCAGAGAACUCACGAUGAACCUUUAAAAUUGAAGAGCCUUAAAAACGCCCUGCAGUGUAUAGUUUAAUCUAAUAGUCCUUGCGUGUAAUGUGAUCAUUUUUAUUGAUACGUGCACACGGGGUGCUUUUCAGCCCAGGGGAAGGACGGAAGGAAGGAAUAUUACUUUGGGUAUUAAAAAGACAUUUUGUUUUUAAAAGUCGAGAGAAAAAUGUGAAACAUCUGAAAUGAAGAGCGCUGUCUGCCCAGUCUUCUGAGUGCAGCUCAGACGAGCUCCACAGCAUUCACAGCGCAUGUUGCCUGUGCACACACAAACUCCAGCAAUGCACAGCUGUGGGCAGCAGCCACCGCCCCUUUCCCUUUGCCUGCCCCGGCUGCUUUAUCUCCUUGUGCGUUGCAUGCAGCCCAUGUGUGGUUGACGAGUGUUUGCACAGCCAUGUGCUGAAAAAUGGCCCAGGAUGGGCUACGCAACAUCUGCCCUCGCUCUGCUUCUCUGCUGGGGUCGUGGGCUCAGUGCUGGGGUGCCCUGCAGUGCUGGCUUUGGUGAGAGGCAGCUGCAGGAGGCACUGAUCAGAAAGAGGGCUGGGUGGGACUGUGCGCUUUUGCCACAGCAAUAGUGUAAUGUCAUUCGACACAGAGGUGCAAAGGAUGUUCUGCUCGCUGAGACAGCGGGACCACGGUGCAAAGCUUGGUCCUGUUGUGUGGUGUGCCUUGCGGAUCAGUGUCAGUGGAGUUCGUUCCUCUUGUUGGCCAUCAUCUGAACUAUGAUUUACCACACAAGUGACACUAGUGCUGUGUAUGGUGAAUGAGUGCCUUUCUGUGUACAGAAUUGGUAAUUAUGGGAAGAGGUUGUUUCUUAACCGAUGCUUGAAGUGCCUCUCCGCUGCUACAGCAACAGGAGGGAGAGCCUGAUUAUUCAGGCAAGUUAACGUUAAUUUUAUUCCCGAGAUUUGUUUUUAAAUCUGAUCCAUGCCAAUAUGAAUUCGCCAUUGCUAAUUUUAGCAUGGUCUGCUCACAGAAGAUAACAAAUCCCAGUUUUAGAUGAAAGAAGAAGUAUUUUAACAGGAGGCUGACUAGAUUGUUAUCAAAAUGCUAAUGAUCAGUUCUCCUGCAGCCUCAGUUAUUUUCAGAGGGAGGACUAGAAUAGACACAUCAUCUGAAUAAGAUUGAUUUUAAUAUGUAUUACUAUCUCAUUAAGCUGUUAAAGUCUCUCCCCUUCUGGACAGAGGUUCAUUACGUGCUGCAGCUGGUGCAUCAUUAUCAUGGGCUCAGGUACAAGACGGGCAGAGCGUGAGAGAGGGAUGUGAAGUUCUGAAUGAGUUCUAUGGGUGAAGAUACGGUGGUCCUGGCCACAGAGAGAGGGGAACUGCUGUGCCUGCUGUGCUGCGUCCUGAUUGCCUUCUGGUUGACAGCCAAACGUCAGCCAAAUCCAGGCACUAUCGUAUUUACUUGACUAAAUGAUAGUUUCAGUAAAUACUGUUGAACAUGCUUGCUUGUGGAUUAAUUUCAGGCUAAUUCAAAUCAAAAUCUCCUUAGUGAGUUACAGUAAAAAGAUACGGUUUUAUGAAUUUACUUUUUAAUUUCUAAUUUCAUUUUGAAACGGCUUCUAACAGACUGCCUGUUUUAUUGGCUGUCUUUUUACAUGUCUCCAAGUGCUUUCUUUGGAGCUUGUUUCAGGUUUGUGGUGUUGUCAUCCCUAUAAGCAAAUCAGUACGUUUUCAUUUUACUUGAUAGCAAUAAUUGAUGAAUUUUUAAUUAUUUUAACCCAGUAAAGUAGAAGGAAGCAGACAAUUGACUUCAUCUUGCAUAUAUUUUUCCGUAAAUAAGAUGCACACACACAAAUGUAAAUACGUAUGUGUGUGUGUACUAAAUAUAUUUCCCAGAGUAUAUAGCUUUUUGACAGGAAAGGAUCUUUUCUGCAUUCUUGUCUCCCUGUGCAUGCAAUGGAGUGGGUUGUGCAGUGCUGUCACCACAUGACGGACAUGUGUGCACUGUGUCCUGGUGCUGUGGCUUCUGGUCGCUCCUCUGGACACACACCCAGCAUUCCCCUAAAGGAGUGGCACUGCUGGAGGGAUGGUGGGUGUGUGCAUGGGCAGCCUCCUCCUGCACGCCUCAAGUAUAGAUCUGUGCUUGUCGUGUGACUGGGUUGCUUUCCCGAACCACUGCUGUGCCCCAUGCUCAUGUACACAUGGAUCCCACUGCUGUUUCGCCUUUUUUUCCAGGGUUGGAGCCCCACUUGGAUGGGAAAAAGUUCAAAUCAUAGGUUGAAGCCCCAGCAGCACUGGGGCUGGGCACUGAUCUGUCUGCUGUCCCUUGCAGAGUUCAGUCAGCAGCUUUCCUCCCAGAUCCCUUUAUUUUGCGUGCUUCCCUUCUAACACACAUAAUAGCAAAGCCUUUGGAGGAUACAGUCAUAUGUAUGUGUCAUAAGAUAGAGUAAAAUAAUAAGUGACAACCAUGAGAUGAAUUCUUUUUUUUGUUUCUUGUUUUCUUCUGGGUAUGUCACAGUGGAAAACAUCUGAUUGUUUACAUUUCACAGUCAUGCAGCAAUGUAAGAUCAGAGUCAGUUGUAUCUUUUGAAUAAUGAAAAAUGGGUACAUUCUAAAAUGAAAGUUUGGUAGUUUUGAGUUAUAUCGUGGAGAGGAAACUUUAUUUUGUGCAAGCUUGAGUUUGACCCGUUCUGAUAAACACGGGACUUCCUUUUGUAAGCAGUCAGUUUCACUUUUAUCUGAGUAUAUAUUUCCAUGUUGGGGCUAUCACUGUAGUAAUUCCUAUUAAAAUAAUUUAGCACACUUUAAAUACGAGUCUGAGCAGGGUUCAGCAUCUGUAAUAACACUGUGCAGACAGGGAGAGGUCAUUUUGUGCUUAUUAACAAACAGCAACUCAGCAGCCAGAGCUGAACGGACAUCUCCCACUCAUCCGAAGCCUUGGAAACCAGGAAAUCAGUGGUUACAGGGGAAGGUUCAUGCCUUCCUCCCUUUGUCUCACAGCAGCAUACUGAAAUGCAGAGGUGCAGAGAGCCAUGGGUCUUUUUCUUUUUCGUUUCUCUGCUUCUAGUGUUUGUUCCAUAUUAGCUUGCCUGAGCCUCUGUUGCUAAGCAUUGUUUUAGCCUUCUCUCUGAGAAGAAGAACGUGCAAAUCCAAGAGUGCUUGCACGGGUGGUUGUGUUAAUCUCCAAAAUAGAAUUACAGAACCACAGAGUCCUAUAGCUUGGAGAAGAUCACCAAGUCCAACCAUCAACCUGAUGGCAGGUCAGAGUAGGUCAGGUUGCCCCAUCACUAAACCAGGUCCCUUAGUGCCACGUCCACACACCUGAAUCCUUGCCGUGUGUCUGAUAUGUAUAAUCACAUGUGUCUGCAUGUAUUCUAGCCCAUACUGCAGAGCCCAUCCUUCAGACAGGUGUUGUCACUGCUGCCUGUGCAAUAGGUGCAGAGAAGGCUGGAGAAGAUGGCGGCCCUCACACAUGGUGGCUGAAAUGGUGCCGGUGCUGUUGAUGGUCAGGGACCCUGGGAGAGGGCUGUGCUGGGCGGUGGCUGUGGUGACUGUAUGGCGUUUAGUCGUGCCAAGAGGUCUCAUGUCGUGCGAGAGACAAGGGAGGAUCAUUCUGGAUGCUUUGUUUCCUGUGGGAGUAGGUCUUGUGCGAUCACUUCAUCUUAAAAGUAUGCGGGAAGCAUUUACGAAGGAUUUGCCCUGGCUGUGCUGCUAUUUGGAACUGUUGAGUGUAGUCAGUAAGAUUUGAUGAGUGCCUUCGAGGCUGUUUAGAGCUGGUGUUGCCCUCUCAGCAAGCUGGAGACCCCAGAGUUUGCUGGUGGACGUCUUAGAUUCCAUGACUCUAUGAUCUUUCUCACCAUUACAGAGAAGUGCAUUGUGCUGGGGCCCUUCUGUCGUGGAGGUAAAACUGCCUGGACUCACCUUGCUGGGGGCACUCCAUACACAGGCCUCCACCUGCAGGUGCCCAGAGGUGACAAGGAAAGGGGCAUAGUUUUUUUUUGUUACCACUGGGCUGACACGAGAAGAGUCGGCGCUCACCUGCAAAAUGAGACACUGUGAGGAACUGGCUAGAGUUUGGGUUCCUCAGUUACUCUGAUGCUUUCUAUGAACGUGCACUUCCUUUGCAAGUCAACUCAUGACUGAAAAACGAAAGGUUUGAAGCAGUGAUGCCAGCUCCCCAAAUCAGUGAUGCCUUCCCCGUACUGGUGGGAUGAAGAGAAGCCAAACACACAACAAAAGAUGUGGCCAGCCUGAAAUUGUCUCAUUGCUGUGGAAACCCAGAGGGACUGGUGGCAAGUGGAUAAAGGCCAGUGAAUCUCAGUCAAGGUAGUAAAGGUUUUCUUGUUUUGUUUGUUUGUUUGUUUCUGAAGAGCUUCCUUGGCUCAUGAAUAGUAUUGGAAGGUGCUUCUAUUAGCAGCACUUAACUUCUUAAAGUUGUGUGGCUGCAGACCCAAGAAAGCAGCUGUGUGUUGCCCUUUGUUGAGUAGCUUUGUCCGAAUGAACUUCGGAUAAACACCAUUUUGUUUUUCACAGCUUUUUUGUAAGUGAUUAAUGAGGGAAAGGGAGUAAUCUGCUACUUGGCAGUGUUGCCAGGCGUGUGGUAAGAGAGCAAAAGUUCCUCUCUGUAGUGUAGUAGAAAGGAUGAAUCAAUUUCUCUCUCUUUUUUUUUUUUUUUCAUUUCCACCUCCUCUUUCCCUCUAUCCUCACAGCCCAAAAGGACUGCAAAUUUCCAAGAUAAGUGUGAAGGAGCUGUGAUGCCCAAACUGUUUGCAGGGACACAGGAGAGCCUUGGGGACCACGUGUUUCCUAGGAUCAUGACUGAGUUCCUGUGGGAGGUGUGAGAAAUCAGUACUACAAGCAGCAAUAUUGUGGCACCUCUGCAGACCCAUUUUGUUGGAGAAGUAUUCUUCCUAGGAAGGCAAACUUGAGAAAUGGGAUUUGGCUGGCUUUGCUUCAUUGACUUGGUUCAAAUAUUGUUCAAGGUGCUGAUGGUGUCAUCCUAUUGCUUUGCUGUGGCUCUGCCUCAUGUUCCUGGUUUUGACUCUGUGUGCAGCGAGCAAGUUGGGCAUUUCCCUCUUUUGUUCCCAUUCCUUCCAUACCAGUUGUCCCUUGGCAUUGUCCCCCUGCCUGUCCCUGUCCCCUCUGAAUACCUGAAGUGUCUUUGCACAGGGCGGUGCUGGUGAGCUGCUUCUCAGCCAUCCCACAUCCCUCCUGCUCCACCUGUACGUGAGCAGCAUCAGGACAGAGGUGCACCAGAGAAAUGGGCACAGAAAACAGGACCUAGCAGACACAGCCACAGGCAGAGAAAAGUAAAUAUUGCAAACCACGUGUAUUUGUGUUUUGAAAGGUUACAGUAGCUUGAGAGGAGCACUGCUGUUGAUUCCUCAGUCGUCUCGAUGCAGUAAGGAUGCUCUAAGGAAGAUUUCAUUUUUGUGUUGGAGGGUUUCCUUGGGUAUACUACUUCCAAAUUGAAUACAGAAAUUGAAUACAGAGUCAUUCUCACGUCCUUAUUUCACUGCAGCUUUGCUAGAGGAACUCUUCUGAUGUGUAGAAAGGUUUGGAGUGGAAAAAAUUGUUCAACAUCUGAAGUAUAGUCUCAUACUUAAUGGAUUGUUUUAAUUUCCCAGUAGAGAUACUCUGUUUCUGAGCAGUGAUAGUAAAAUCUUGACCUUAAGUUACAAUUUCAUUCUUUAAUAAAUAUAGUUAUCUUAUUUAAUAUCUCUAAACACCACAGAAUGCUUUAUAGAAAAUAGCGAGUUGCUUUUUUGGAUGAGAAACUAAAGCACAGAGCAGCCUGCUAGCAUUAGGGUGGAGAUGGACAGAGAUUGCAUGACCUUAGGCUCUAGGCACUGCUGCUGUGACCCUCGAUGUCCUCAAGCUCUCGUCAUUCAAGUGUUUGGAACAGGCAUAACAGGCAUUUCACAACAGGUCUUGCUACGAUGAGUUUCACCUACUUCACUGUGUACUACAGCUCCAUUUGGCCUACAUCCAAGUUUAGUUUCUUCAGUUACUGAAAUUGUUCCCUUCUUCGGUUUCCUAAUACUAAAAUGCUGUAAAAUUAACUGGAAAGCAACUAUUAUGUUCCCUAUUUCUUCCUUUUGUCUUCACAUUCUGGAUGUUUUUUGUUUGUGCGUGUUUAUUUUUCCCUUGCUUAUUUUCUCUUUUAUUGCAUCCAUGAAGCUUUUGUUCUCAAUUUUUAUGUCACUUGACAUAUCAGAGAAGCCAAAUAAAAUCCUUCUCAUUGCUGCUUCAAGUUAAAAACUACUUUUUAUGCUGAACAAUAAUUGUAUUACAAGGGAGCCUGAUGUGCCCUCAGUGCCAUUACAGUAUGUUGAAUAAAAGGUAAUUUAAUGGAAACAGUGGAGUAUUUGAAAGUUCACUCUAUGCAAAUUGGAUUUUUGCCUUCUAUUAUUUACAUUACACCUUAUUCAUAUUUAAGGCCACGGGGAUUAUCAUCUGCUUUAAUGGCUUUAUUUAAUAAAGACUUUAGGAUCUAGCACGGGCUUCAAUCUGUUAUCAGGAUUUCAAUUAACUAGCUUUGCCUUUGGUUGCUCCAUAAAUCCUACAAAUACAUCUAAAUAAUUAAUUUGCUUUCACUGGAUGGUAGUGGCUACUCUGAAAUACAGCUGCUACAUACGUAGCUGUUAAAUGACACAUCCGUGCUCCUAACUUGUUUUUGUUAUUAUUUUGUCAAAGUAUCGCAACUAUGACGCUCUGCUGUUAAGGUGACUGGCUAGACCAUGAUCAGCAUCCCAUGGUAGAAGACCUCAUAGAAGAACUUGAGUUAUGGCUGAGGACCUUUGGAACUAGGUUGCAAGCGCACCUUGAAUUCUGGGAGGAGAGAAUGGAGACAGGUUUAAAGCGCACCUUCUGCCCCGUGAGACAAAAAGAUGAGUUACAUUUACUGUGCUGAAAGGGUUAAUGUGUGAAAAUGGAAACAUUCAAGGCUGUAUUAGUGACAGUUUCAUUGUGCUGGCAAAAGAAAAGGACAAAACGCAGCUACAGUUUACUCUUCUUGCUAUAUAAUGAUUUGUUUUAUAUUACUGUGAGAAUUCAUACUGUAUCCAGAGAAGGUGGAAAGCUGAAAUGGCGAUACUGCCUCUGUUGAGUACAUAUUUUGGUGCUCCUCAAGUUUUGAAUGUGCCGAUUGUUGCCUUUUGAGAAGCUUCCAAUAGAGAAUGCUGCUCUUCACUUUUAGGUUUCUUCCCAGCCCUCAUGGAAGUCUUGAAAGAGAAAAUACCUGGCUUUGUGAGGAAGGUCUAAGCAACUGAAAUGCAGUCCUGCCCUUUGGUGCCUACUGCAGCAGAUAAAAUAAUACGGGGGAGUAUUUUAACUCCAUGAAUUUGUCCAGCGUGGGAACCAGCGCUCUUAGAUACAUCUGCCAGAGGAAAAUAUGUUGUUUAGCAAGUUCACAAAAUAUUGACCAUUCGGUACAGGUUGUUCAUGCUCGCAGAGGUUAUUGUCGGUGUUAGGGAACCACUGAGUAAACAACUGGAUGAGAGUUUGCAUCAAAGCUUUAUUUCCAAUAGACUCCUGCAACUUUUCCUGAAAACAUUUCUCUACACAUCUGAAAAAUCUUUCCUCUAACAGAUGUUAAUGUUUAUAGGACAGUUACAGCAGAAACAUAACUUGGGUGUAUAUCAGUGCUUGCCUGGAGUAAACUCCACCAUGGAGUUCACAGUCCUUCAGCAAAGCCAGGAGAAGGGACACCAACAUAGCGUCUCUCAUCUAAACCUGUGUUUAAGGAUGCUGUAAUCAUUUCUUGGGAGAUGUUCAUUUGCAUCUGCACCACCCAGUCCUGUUAAAAUCCUCCCAAAAAGUCAGGAGCAAACAAAACAAUAUUCUGCUGCCUUCUUGGGUUUCCUAUGGUAGUGCUCUUGAUGGGAUUGUCACCUUUCCCUCUGGCAGCGAUAGGAUUUGACUCCCAGAAGUUCUGGGCUGGACCCAGAGCCCUUAAAUAUCAUGUGUGUAAGCAGUGGAGGUCAUCUGCUAGCCACUGGAUGGCAAAGUGGCUCCUGCAACACAGAGGAGACCAAACAAGAAAGAGUACAAAUGCAAAUGCAAAAUUACAUUGCAUUUACAAUGCAAAACUUACAUUUUUCUUAGAAGACUGAUAGCAAAUGGUCAGUCUGUAAAGAAAGAAAUGUUGCUCUCACUUGAACUCAAACUUAGUUUUGGUUUCUGCAGAUGGAAAAUUAAUGUUCAUGACAGAGUUCAUUGCUAGAGGAAUGCUGCCUCAGAAUGAAACUUUGGUUUUCUUAUUUUAUUUCAGUAUAAAACAUUGCUAUUUUACCCUUAGAAAAUAACCAACAUUCCCGGUAGGAAAUUGUUGGUCUGUUAAGAUAAACAAAGUCAUCUGUAGCUGAUGUGAACGGUCUUUUGCUUCUUCUGUACAAGGCACGUAAAUCUCUCUCUUGGCUCUUCUAACCAGUCUGGUUCUCUCAUCUUUGCCCAUGGAAAGGCCCUGGCUUAAUUCCUUCUGAAUCAUAUUCUGUUUGUCUCAUUUCCUAUUGCUGUGAUUAAAGCUAAGCUGGGCAAACACAGGCCGUAACUUCUACACAUAGGCUUGCUAAGCUGAAGUGUAUAUUAUUAAAAUGUCUUGAAUUCACUUCUACUAUCUGUUCAUUUAAUGCACUAAAACCUGCUAUGUGGGUUAAGAAUAAAUGAUAGCGUUACCACAUUCGAUACUUGUUAUUGUGCAUUUGUGGGAAGGAUCAGAUUGUGUGUGGGGGACCUGGACUCCUGGGCGUGCAGAGGAAUGCAUACACUUGGUUGGAUACAAAGAGCCAAAAGGGUCCUUAGUAGAUGCCUGGAAAGAAGUGCUGGAAAUGCACUAGAAAUGCAGCUGAUGUCCCUCCAGUGCUGUGUAGUAGAAUCCAGGUGUUGAUAGGAAGAGUAUGUCCCCAUGCAUUGCUGGUAGAUGACCGAAUCAGAGAACGGCUGAGAUGGGAAGGAACCUCAGGGUUCAUCUGGUCCCACUGGUGCUCGAGCAGGGCCUCCCUGAGCAGGGGUGCCCAGGACUGUGUCCAGAGAUACUGAACAGUUCUUUAGUGCAGCAUGGACUGUGCCUGAUCCUGGCAGUGAAGACAAUGGCUUUAGAAGUAAGCAGUCAUUAAAACCACAGGUCCAUUGCUCUUGCAUUGUUAGGAACUGCACCCCUCUGUUAAACUUUAAAGGCUGUUAUUCAGGUGGUUUCUUGAUUGGGUGUGCUUUUUAUGUUCAUCCGUGUGCUGUUGGUGGCUGAAAGCAGAGCUAGUCAGUGCAACCAUCACUCCCAUCAUUUAUCUGUGAGAAUCUGUCUUUUCUUCAGACUUGGGAAAUUGUCACCUGUCCUGGAAAUUUAUAGCUCGUCUUUCCUUUGGGGCUACUGUGAGUUUAUCUGAAGUAUUUAUAGCUAUUAUAGUUGUUUGACAAACAGGUUCAGCCAAAUAAGAGACCUCGGUAGAGCAGAUUAAUAGCAGAGAGCCUUUUAUUUAACUUGGCAAGGCUCAUCACAAACCAUCAAAGAAAUCGGUCGCUUUGUCAGUAGUAUUGAGUGGAUGGAUAUGAUAAACAAAGAGGUCACAAAGUCUUCCUCAGAAACAGAAAUACGAAGGGCUUGCCAAACAGCCUUAUACUCAAAUAUAGGUGUUGAAUGUAUUCAAGGCAUAUGAGGUUCGUAGCUGUUGUUCCCAUAGGUAUUCAUGAGUUUCUGCAAAAUGCAGGGAGGAAACAGAUCUUGAAGGAACCCAGAAGUGACACGCAGCUCAUCUGUUUUGCUGAGCUGUUUCCCUAAAUUAAAUCCACUGCUUCCAAAGUGAAGUUGAUAAUAGGAUGUUGGAAACGGUCUUUCAGCAGUGAUUGGGAAAACAGCUACCAGCAGCCCAUUGCAAAUACAGGUAUUCUGGCGGUAAUUCUCUGUUCCCAAGUGUGGUGCUCGCUUAAGGUCUAAUCUCAGCAGAAGCUUUAAAUGCAUACUUGUGUUAAUCUCCGUUAAAGCAUUUUUGCCUGUGGUUAACUAUAGCAGCAUGUUCUCAAUUAAGCAUGUGUCUGAGAUGUCCUCUGCAGAAAUAAACGGCUGACUUGAGGUUAGAGAGAAUUUCCUCUGCACAGCUUCUGGGCUCUGUUCUAGCUAGACCUGUCUGCAUCUAUUUAGAAGGAGGCAGCGGGUGCUGCUGGCUUCUGUCCUCGUGUCAGGAAUUAAGAACGUGGCUGAAGACCUUCACUUCUGUAAUGCAGAGGAGAGCAGGCGAAGGAGCUGGAAUGAAGCAGAACUGUAAACUGUAAUGCCAGUGUUACUGCUCUCUGUCAGCUGUUGCAAGGAGGAUGAGCAUUACAAGUGUCACAGGUGUCUUUAAUUAUAUAUGGCCUUACUUACUGAAAUAUUCAUAAGAAAAGGAUACAUCAUGUGAAAGUUCUUGUUGGAAGGAAUAAUGGUUAUUCUUCAAUAUCAACAUGGAGAUUCCCCCAGCAGGUUCUUCAUCUGGCAAAAUGAUUGCUGCAUUUACUGAAAAAAAAAUUUCAGUGCUGUCUCUCAUUGCUGUGCCUCCUUUUCCCUGGUAAGCCAUUCCACAGCCACAAUUGCUGUGGCUGUGUCUUAAAGAAGUUCUUGCUGCAAGUGUGAAAAAAUCCUGGCUUCUGAUGAGCAGCUGGGGAGCAGAGGCACUGAUUUAUAGGAGAACAUAAGUGUUGCAGAAUACAAAAGCUAGUGUACUCUUCAGUUUCAGGUUUGAUGAGUCCUGUGAGCCUCGCAGGACUGGUGAGUCCCAUAAAGCAUAUGGUUAGCAAAUUGGGUGAAUUCCAGUCUGAAACUAAUGUAAAAAUAGAGGAACUGGUUUUAGCGCUGUGCUUUUACCGCCUGUGCUUAUGUUGCAAUUGUGUUAGAAAUAGGAACGCUAAACUUACAGCUGGCAACAGGUGGAGGGUGAUGAACGGAGGGAUUGUUCUGGAUGUGUCGGGGAAGGGCAAGAUGAAAGCAGUGUGACUUGGAGGGUCUGUUGUUUUAAUAACGCAGCUUACUUAGGUGCAGCCCAGCAGUACCCCUGAGGGCAGUCACUGUUCAUUUCUGUGCACUGGAGGAUGUUGUUGGCUCAGUGUGCAUCCUGGUUCUGGCCCCGAGCCGUGGAGCUGUCACAACAGGGCAAUGGAAGGGAGGAAGCGUGGCAGUGUCUCAAUGAACCAUGCAUCCGCACCAUCAUCCUACUCCCCUUCUCUCUGGGUGAUGCAUGAAUUUCGUUUCUCGCCUCCUGGGCAAGCAGAACAACCCCUCCAAGGUACGGUGCUGCACUGGUCAGCAGUCUUUGGGAAACGCUAGCGUUUGCUUGAGCACUGCUGCUAUAUUCCCUGCCUGCUUCCAGGCUGCCUGUGAAUGGCCGUGAAGCCAGCAGAGCGAUGGCUGAGCAGCAGUGCUUCCUCGUCUUCCCUUUGCCCAGCCCUGGUGCUCACAGCCAGGUGCCCUCACACGCAGGCACAUUUAGCUGCGGUCAUACUUGGCCUCCUCAUACAGCAAUAUGAGCCAGGCCAUGGCUUUUUUUUAGGAAAAGGUCCUGAACUUAUGUCCUGCUUUAACCAGAUGACUUAGGAAUCUGCUUGUGGGAUGAUUUCACCCAGUGUGUAAUAACCCUCCCUGGCAGCUGCUGCUGGCCUGCCAGUGCUGGGUACACUGGGUGGCCUCAUGGGCUGCUCCUUCCUCAGGAGUGGCACCCACACCACAGCCUGGCAGGACCUGGUCAUUCUGCUGCCUCUGCUGAUUUGCACGUCCCUUUCCUGGCUCUUGAAGGUUGGAUAAGGCAAUAGAUUGCUCCUGGCCUUUAGUCCCCAAAACGCAGACCUCACACAUGCCAUAUAUUUAAGUGAUCCUUUUGCCGUUUCUGUCCCCAGAGUUCUUUUCUGCUUCAACUCCAAGGGUACAGCAUUCAGUUUCACAAAGAAUGGACUAGGGGAUGACCACGUGGUCAUCAUCUUGGGCCUCCUCUUGUGGGAGACAGUAUCUAAAAUAAUGACCGUUCUGGAUAUGUCCAGGAGCCACAUGCCUCCCUGUAGCCUGGCUCAGCAGAGGCUGCAAGUGGCUCACCACCAGUUGUUUAUCAAGAAGCCAGACGCUGCCAAACCCAUAUUUUAAAACCACUGUGCAACUGGCGUUUUGUGAGAAGCCUCCUCCUGGGUCUUUGAAGCAUGUGAGCAUGCAAAUUGCUGCUUGCUUAUGCUCUUGCAGCCCGUACAGUUGCAUUUGUGUUCAGAUUGCUCAGCCAGCCCCCCGCCCCAUUGAGGUGGGUCUCGCUGGCAUGUGGAGCUCCAUAAGUUGCCUCAGAAGAGUUGUCUUGAAUGGAGAUUGAGCCACUCUGUGCAGGCUGCACAUGGUGUUACCAUGUGGCUGCAGCUCUUAAAAAGCCUCAUGCAGUGAUGGAUCAUAAAGGGCUCUUAGCAGACACUGGGUAUUUUUUUCUUCUGGGUAAGGACCACAAGAAAUAAUUGCCAGUAAUCUGCAUCUACAAGGUCUGGAUUUGAUGGUAGGGAGAGGCUGUUAGGUCUACAGUUUGUCCUUGAUCACAGCAGUGUUCCAGGUGCCUGAUGAUGAAGAAGUCAAGGCAGGUGACUGUUGUUUUACCAGGAAAACAUGCGAGAAUAUUGGUGGCUCAUCCAGGAUAUUCCUUCGCCUACUCUGUGUGGCAAAAGCAUAUAUACAUGUAGGACCAAUAUAGGUAAAGUUUUGCAAAAUGUAUGAACUCUGCCUUAUCAUGGGAAGUGCCACCUGAGGUCUGGCCAUUUCAGUAGAGCACAUGUAUGUCGGACAAAGGAGACUGGCUUUAUUUUCAGGGCGGUUGGGAUGAGUUUUGGAGCCAAAAAAAGACUUUGAUCCUUGUACGUGCUGGUUCUGUGAUGUGUAUGUAACAUUUCAUGUUGGUAAGUAAAUCACUUUUAUGAAAAUGAAGCUUUAAGGGAAAAAGAAGGUCUAUCUCUUCAUAGCCCCAGAACCUACAGUGCUUUGGUUUUCAUUAUUAUUUAUAAGCAGGCUUCCUUAUUGGUAAGAAAUCCUGGUUUAUGUCUCAGUUUCACACUUGGUGAUGCAUUGCUCUGUCAGGAUUCUGUAGGAUAUGUGUGUUUAAAAAAAUGAAAUGGUGUGUAUUGAUCUUUAACAUAGAAGCAUCACAAGGUGUAUUUAGAUGUACCAACCCAGGGCAAAACACUAAAAGGAAGGAAGGAAGAAAAAAUCACCCUGAGCAGAAACAAUUUUUAUUCUCGAUUGUUUUAUAGUAAAAUGUAGUAAAGCAAGUACGUGUAAUUUACCUCUUCUUGUUGACUGCCUUUGCAGAACUGUAUCUGAAUCAUUUCCUGUUAGUGAAUAAAACCAAGAGGUUUUCAGGGUUGUUUAGUCUGGGCAACUGGGAGUUGGUGUAGCUAAUGUGUUCCAGGAGGUUAACCACUGUGAUCUCUCUUGUCUGAGUCGUUUCCCUUUUUCAGAGGGUGUGCAGCCCCUACGGUUGCCUUUCAGGUAGCAAGCGAUCAGCUGUCUCCCGUGUAUGGUGAAAGAGCUCAAUCUGUGGCCAUGUGAAAUCUCAACGACGUGCAGUGCCUGUCUCUGCUGUGGCCUGGAUGGAGGUAAAGGAGAGCGACCCUUCCACAACAGCAAUUUCCUCUUCCCAGAAUAACGGCAUUCAUAUUUUAUGGGCAAUAGUUUUUGAGAACCUCAUUUUGUAUUCACGGAAAAUCACGUUAAUAGGCGAGGUAUUUAUCUGUAAUUCACAUCUUUAACGAGGGGAAUAGUGGUUCCUCCGAGGCAUUCUAAUGGAAAUUUUUAUUUCCCGAUAGAAUCCCCAGACCAUUAGGAGGAAUUUGAGGUGAUGCUGACAAAGGGGAGCGAUGAAUGAGGAACCUCCUGACCAGCGCGGUGCCACCCCUCAGGAAAGCUGGGCGCAGGCCAUGGGGCUUUGUGCUGCACGGCCAUCUGGAGCAGGCGAUUACACGGUUUGCAAUUAGCUCCUGGUGUCAGGAUGCUCCGGUCGCGGAGUUCCUCCAACAUAGCGGUUUCUGCGGCACUAAGUCACUAAUCACGCCUGGGAUGCCUGCAGGCGAUUGCUGCUGGCAGUGCUUUCUUCAGUAUUUAACCUGUGCGUUUUUGAACAGCAGUCUUUCUUGUACUUCUCUUAUUAACUUCGUUUUGGAGCUUAUCAUUGAUUUUUUUUUUCCCACCCUAUUCUUUUUUUUUUCUUUUAACAGCACCUGAUGUGUGUUUGUAAUUAAUUAUUUAGUGGGCACGGUACGACAUAAAAGGGAAUAUUUUACAAACGAUUCUAUUUUUCUCCUUUUUGUGGCUUUUUGCCCCGUGCUCUUGUGAUCUCCCAACAGCUGAUCUCCUGGAUGAUGAAAGCGACCGCUAAUGGGCUCUCGCUCGUACAUGGUUCUAGGUGUGCUGCAUUUCAGCCCCUGCGUGGAGGAUAAAUUCCUUAAUGGAGAUUUGGAGAGAGUUUUUUCACACGUAGCACAAGCAUGCUAAUGGAUGGCUAAAGCCAAUUCCGUUCUUGGGUUUCAAAUUAAUUUCCAUGAAAGCUCUGGGCUUAAUUCGGUUGAGAAUGUGCUCUUAAUUCAAUAAAAGAAGAACGGCGAUUAUGGUGAACACUGGAAGUCUGAUGGCCAUUGUAUUAAUUUUUAGAAAAGAAAUGCGUUCUUAUUUGUCAUGCUAUUUACUUAACAAGAGGGCUGCAAGCUGUGGAAACCCAUUGUAAUUGAGUCUGUACAAACAAUUUCUGUACACAUUUGUGUUUGACUUGCAUCAACGGUAGUCAGCGUUUGGGAAGCAUUUUGAAAGGCUACAAAAAGGCAAUAUUUUUGUGGUGGGGAGUUUGUUAGGUUCCUUGUAGGCCCUGGAUCUAGAGCACUGAGUGAAGGUAAAAGUCUGCUAACAGCCUUUUUUAUAUGUAUAUUUAAAAUCCUAUACCGGGCCUUGCUAGCCUGAGGGUCUAAAAGAAACACUAACUGAAUUAUUUUGUUUCUGAAUGCACACAUCUUGACUGAGUUAGUUUUUAAAAAGAGAGUCUUGCCCUUCCUUUAUGUGGUUAUAAGUUAAAAGUGCUCGAGGUAGUCAGACAAAAGUUAAACAAAAUACUCUGAGGCUGAUCUGUUUGUGGUGUUUACAGUCAGUUAGCUUCUAUAGUUCAUUUUACCCUGUAAAGGCAGAGGUGUUUUUGCACUCUAAUAAUCUGUGGCUUUUAAUAACUGCUCUUUUAUAAAGUUUUGCACAUGCCUGUAGGUUCCACAUAUCCACAGAGGAAGGCCCAGAAAGCUGUAUGGUUAGGGGGCUGUUCCUCAGUGAGCGAUCCUGGGUGGGUCGGAGGUAAGCUGGUGCCCCAGAUGUGCACAUGGGGGUCACAGCUAGCUCCUUGUCUUUACUUCCCUGCAUUUAAGGGUGUGAGCUUCAAAAAGAGGCAGAAUCUGAUGCAGGAUAGUAGCAUGUUGUCCAAGCGGAAGAGGGAGUGAGGACGGACCUGGGGGACCAGGGAUCCCAAAGCCACUCAAUGCAUCUGUCUUCUGCCAUUUCCCUUCUGCUUUUGUUUGGCCUGGGAGAAAUAAAAGCUCAAUAGUAUCACAUCUACCUGUCCUACCUGAUAGGUUCCUAUAAUACUUAUUCUUUUCUCCAGAGGAGAACUUAGGACAACAGCAAUGGAGAGGCAUCCUCACUAGAAUCAUAGAAUCAUAGAAUUACUCAGGUUGGAAAGGACCUCGAAGAUCAUCAAGUCCAACCAUAGUACCCUAACUCUAACAACCCUCUGCUAAAUCAUAUC